rnacentral:rRNA from 1 species
AUGAACGCUAGCUACAGGCCUAACACAUGCAAGUCGAGGGGCAGCAUGGCGGUCGCUUGCGACCGCUGAUGGCGACCGGCGAAUGGGUGAGUAACGCGUAUCCAACCUGCCCAUUACUCUGGGAUAGCCUUGCGAAAGUAAGAUUAAUACCGGAUGUUGUUAAAAACCCGCAUGAGUUUUUAACCAAAGAUUUAUUGGUAAUGGAUGGGGAUGCGUGACAUUAGGUAGUUGGUGAGGUAACGGCUCACCAAGUCUACGAUGUCUAGGGGUUCUGAGAGGAAGGUCCCCCACACUGGAACUGAGACACGGUCCAGACUCCUACGGGAGGCAGCAGUGAGGAAUAUUGGUCAAUGGCCGAGAGGCUGAACCAGCCAAGUAGCGUGAAGGAUGAAGGUUCUAUGGAUUGUAAACUUCUUUUAUACGGGAAUAACAUCACCUACGUGUAGGUGCCUGCAUGUACCGUAUGAAUAAGCAUCGGCUAACUCCGUG